AGUGCCUUCUUUCUGAAACUGGGCAAUUGGAUGGUAUGUUAUAUAGAGUGCUUGACUUGGACUCAGGUAGACCCGACUUCUAAACCUACUUGCACAUUGGCAAGUCCUUUGCCCUCUUAUAGCAUCAGUUUUUUCAUUUGUAAAAUUCAGAUGAUAAUUGCACUUCCCUUGGGGGGCAGGUACUUGUAAGGAUUCAAUGACAAUAUAUGCAAAGUACUUUGCAAUCCUUAAAGCACUAUAUAAAUGCUAACUAUUUUUAUUGUUUAUUGUUUAAUGGUUGUGUAUUUAUUUUCUCUCUAGUCUACAUAUACUUAUACAUAUAUUUAAUGCCUUUCCAGUAGAAUGUAAGCUCCUUGAGAGUAAGGAUUGCUUCAUUCUUAUAUUCUUCCACUUUGCCUGACAGUGCUUUGCACAUAGUAGGUGUUUAAUAAAUGCUUGAUUGAUUGGCAUUUUGCUAAUAUUUGUAGCAUUACUAUUUCAUUGGUGGUAUGUAGGAUCUCUGAAGGUUUAAGCUGUGGUAAAUGACAGCCCUCUUGGUUUUUUUCAUUGAAGGGACUUAAGGGCGUGUGUGUGUGUGUGUGUGUGUGUGUGUGUGUGUGUGUGUGUGUGUUAAGGAAAUAAUUAUCUUUUUUUUUUCUUUCUCCUAGUCUUUUAUUUGAAGAGCAGAAUACCAUUUUGCAUUGGUAUACAUCAAAAUUGAUGGAUCAGGAAAGCAGCACCAACGAGAAUGUGGGCCAGGACCCACUCCUGUUACUGAAAACCCUUCAAACUCUAUGGACAAAGAGGGAGAUGCAGAAGGUAAGUCCCUUUCUUGGAGCCUGCCCCCUGCACAAUGGAGCUCCUAGCUGUAUGCAGAGCAUGUCCAGCCCAGCACAGGGCUGUCAGGACUGUGAUUGUGUUUGGUUACAUUACGCAGGGGGAAAACCCUGCCGAUUGGCAGGCUGGGGGAGGAGGCAGGUCUGUCUGCUUCUCAGCAGACCUGAGGCACAAAAGAGAGAAUUCCUUAGCACUAAGGCAAAGGGGCUGGAAGCCUAAAAUUUCAGCACUUUUUUUCUUCCUCAGCAUAAAACCAGAGUGAACCAAUUUGGAAUCCAUGAAGCAUGUUGUAAUUCUUUGUCCUUAAAUAGCACCUUUGGUAGAGGUCAAAGUACUUUAUUCUCAUUAACCUUCAUAACACUCUAGUGCAGUAGCUCAGGAACAAGGAUGAUUAUCUUAAUUUUCUUAAGAAACAGAGAAGUAACAGAUGGAUAGUGUUCAUCUUCUCAAGGCUACUCUCAAUCCAGUCUCUGCCUAGCUCUGUCUUGCAAAUUAGUUUUGAAAAAUACACAGGCCACAAUUAGUUUUUCUUAGCACACUGGAUUUUUGGUAGAAAGUGUUCCUUGUCUUGGAAUGAUGCCUGCUUUUGGAGAUUCCAGGCCUCAGGUUCUUUUAAACAUUAUCAACUUCCAUAUGUGUAGUUCAGUGGCCUAUCUCAGAGUAAAAAUGAUAAUAUUCAUCAUAAUAAUAGCCAUUAUUUAUUGUUUGCAAAGCCUUUUAUCUGUUCUGGGUUUUAGAUGGAAGAAGGCAUAUGUAGGUGCAUACAUUUACAUCGCUUCUCAAUAACCUCUCCACCAUCAAAGUGGAACAAAAGGACCAGGAACUACCCAAUUUCAUGUGAUUUCAACUCCCAACUCUAUUCAGAUAACUCCACAAUCAGUGCCUCCAGCUCUACUCUCAUUUUCCCCCUUCCUUUGUGGCUGUUACUCUAGUUCUCCUCCUCCUCCUGAUCAUCAUUCCUCCCACAGCAUACCAGGACUUAAGAUAUUAUGGACUGCUCCCAUGCAUCAUUAGCUAGUCUAGAGCAAUGACCCCUUCUGACCUAGUGAUGAAAACUGGCUCACACAGAGCUUCUGUUCUGCUGUAUCACCUGGAGCUCCUGAAAGACUCAGUAGCAUCCUCAACACCUACCACAUAAUUGAAAAAAACUUAAAAACAUCACCCCAGUAAGUACCUAGCAAUACACCUAGAGUAACAACAUUCUGAGGUGAUUUGGGGU
rnacentral:lncRNA from 1 species